rnacentral:rRNA from 1 species
GACGUAGGGGGCCAGCGUUGUUCGGAAUUACUGGGUGUAAAGGGUUCGUAGGCGGUGCGGCAAGUCGGGAGUGAAAUCUCUGGGCUUAACCCAGAGGCUGCUUCCGAAACUGCUGUGCUUGAGUGUGGGAGAGGCGCGUGGAAUUGCAGGUGUAGCGGUGAAAUGCGUAGAUAUCUGCAGGAACACCCGUGGCGAAAGCGGCGCGCUGAACCACUACUGACGCUGAGGAACGAAAGCUAGGGGAGCAAACAGG